UACAGAGGGUGCGAGCGUUGUCCGGAAUUACUGGGCGUAAAGGGCGCGCAGGCGGCUCUGCAAGUCAGAUGUGAAAGCCCCGGGCUUAACCUGGGAAUUGCAUUUGAUACUCUGGAGCUUGAGUACGGGAGAGGAGAGUGGAAUUCCCAGUGUAGAGGUGAAAUUCGUAGAUAUUGGGAAGAACACCGGUGGCGAAGGCGGCUCUCUGGACCGUAACUGACGCUGAGGCGCGAAAGCGUGGGGAGCAAACAGG
rnacentral:rRNA from 1 species